UCUCCUAUGGCGCAAUCGGUGGCGCGUCUGACUGUUAGACAUGCUCUGUCAUGUACAGACGAAUUGCAAAUGCUUACGUAAUCAGAAGGUUGUUAGUUCGAUCCUAACUGGGAGAG